rnacentral:misc_RNA from 1 species
AGAUUUAUGAUGCUGCCACAAGUCGGACUGAUUAUCUUCGGAAAAUUAGUUUGAAGAUGCUUAAAAUGGACAUGGAGACCACGGCUCAAGAUGAUGUGGCCAUUUCAGUGCAAUCCAACUCUACUGUCUGUAGCAAUGAACUCCAGCUUCAGGAGGUAAUAACAGGAAAGAUGGUAUUUUUACACAUCAACCUAUUCCGUUGCUGUCCCCACUUUUUGUGCUUAUGGACUUCAAUGGUUUGUGGUCCCUAGUUAUCGUAAAAUUGCAUUCUGUUAUAAUAUUUAAAGCCAAUCAUUGCCAUAUGCCAAAAAAAGAGUUUUUUUUU